rnacentral:rRNA from 1 species
AACGAACGCUGGCGGCAGGCCUAACACAUGCAAGUCGAACGAAGUCUUCGGACUUAGUGGCGCACGGGUGAGUAACACGUGGGAAUAUACCUUACGCUGGGGGAUAACAUCGGGAAACUGAUGCUAAUACCGCAUACGCCCUUCGGGGGAAAGAUUUAUCGGCGAAAGAUUAGCCCGCGUCCGAUUAGCUAGUUGGUGAGGUAAUGGCUCACCAAGGCUCCGAUCGGUAGCUGGUCUGGGAGGAUGACCAGCCACACUGGGACUGAGACACGGCCCAGACUCCUACGGGAGGCAGCAGUGGGGAAUAUUGGACAAUGGGCGCAAGCCUGAUCCAGCCAUGCCGCGUGAGUGAUGAAGGCCUUAGGGUUGUAAAGCUCUUUCACCCACGACGAUGAUGACGGUAGUGGGAGAAGAAGCCCCGGCUAACUUCGUG